rnacentral:rRNA from 1 species
CAAGGCGCUUGAGAGAACUCGGGUGAAGGAACUAGGCAAAAUGGCACCGUAACUUCGGGAGAAGGUGCGCCGGCUAGGGUGAAGGAUUUACUCCGUAAGCUCUGGCUGGUCGAAGAUACCAGGCCGCUGCGACUGUUUAUUAAAAACACAGCACUCUGCAAACACGAAAGUGGACGUAUAGGGUGUGACGCCUGCCCGGUGCCGGAAGGUUAAUUGAUGGGGUUAGCGCAAGCGAAGCUCUUGAUCGAAGCCCCGGUAAACGGCGGCCGUAACUAUAACGGUCCUAAGGUAGCGAAAUUCCUUGUCGGGUAAGUUCCGACCUGCACGAAUGGCGUAACGAUGGCGGCGCUGUCUCCACCCGAGACUCAGUGAAAUUGAAAUCGCUGUGAAGAUGCAGUGUAUCCGCGGCUAGACGGAAAGACCCCGUGAACCUUUACUGUAGCUUUGCACUGGACUUUGAGCCUGCUUGUGUAGGAUAGGUGGGAGGCUUUGAAGCGUGGACGCCAGUUCGCGUGGAGCCAUCCUUGAAAUACCACCCUGGCAUGCUUGAGGUUCUAACUCUGGUCCGUAAUCCGGAUCGAGGACAGUGUAUGGUGGGCAGUUUGACUGGGGCGGUCUCCUCCUAAAGAGUAACGGAGGAGUACGAAGGUGCGCUCAGACCGGUCGGAAAUCGGUCGUAGAGUAUAAAGGCAAAAGCGCGCUUGACUGCGAGACAGACACGUCGAGCAGGUACGAAAGUAGGUCUUAGUGAUCCGGUGGUUCUGUAUGGAAGGGCCAUCGCUCAACGGAUAAAAGGUACUCCGGGGAUAACAGGCUGAUACCGCCCAAGAGUUCAUAUCGACGGCGGUGUUUGGCACCUCGAUGUCGGCUCAUCACAUCCUGGGGCUGAAGCCGGUCCCAAGGGUAUGGCUGUUCGCCAUUUAAAGUGGUACGCGAGCUGGGUUUAGAACGUCGUGAGACAGUUCGGUCCCUAUCUGCCGUGGACGUUUGAGAUUUGAGAGGGGCUGCUCCUAGUACGAGAGGACCGGAGUGGACGAACCUCUGGUGUUCCGGUUGUCACGCCAGUGGCAUUGCCGGGUAGCUAUGUUCGGAAAAGAUAACCGCUGAAAGCAUCUAAGCGGGAAACUUGCCUCAAGAUGAGAUCUCACUGGGAACUUGAUUCCCCUGAAGGGCCGUCGAAGACUACGACGUUGAUAGGCUGGGUGUGUAAGCGUUGUGAGGCGUUGAGCUAACCAGUACUAAUUGCCCGUGAGGCUUGACCAU